AGACGGGGACCCGCACAAGCGGUGGAUGAUGUGGAUUAAUUCGAUGCAACGCGAAAACCUUACCUACCCUUGACAUGUCCGGAAUCCUGCAGAGAUGCGGGAGUGCCCGAAAGGGAAUCGGAACACAGGUGCUGCAUGGCUGUCGUCAGCUCGUGUCGUGAGAUGUUGGGUUAAGUCCCGCAACGAGCGCAACCCUUAUCAUUAGUUGCUACGCAAGGGCACUCUAAUGAGACUGCCGGUGACAAACCGGAGGAAGUGGGGAUGACGUCAAGUCCUCAUGGCCCUUAUGGGUAGGGCUUCACACGUCAUACAAUGGUCGGUACAGAGGGUUGCCAAGCCGCGAGGUGGAGCCAAUCCCAGAAAGCCGAUCGUAGUCCGGAUUGUUCUCUGCAACUCGAGAGCAUGAAGUCGGAAUCGCUAGUAAUCGCGGAUCAGCAUGUCGCGGUGAAUACGUUCCCGGGUCUU
rnacentral:rRNA from 1 species